rnacentral:miRNA from 1 species
UGUUGUCUUGACCUGUCACUGC